rnacentral:tRNA from 1 species
GCUAUGAUGGCCGGGUGGUUAAGGCGUUGGACUUAAAGUUAAGUAAUGAGUUCGAAUCCAGCUGGGGUCUCCCCGCGCAGUUUCGAACCCUGCUCGCAGCG